GUGGACUGGCCGGGAGCAAUGACAAUGGUAUCCGUCUUGAAGGGCUUGGUAUAAGCAGCAUCAACUUCGACAACGGUGAGUUUGUGACCAGCAAUCUUGAAGAAGAGCUCCUCAUUGAGUGCAGCAUUGAUGAUCCGAAGCAUCUUGGGACAGGCCCUGGAUAGCCAUUGAUGGUGUGAGCGUCAGAGACGUUAGGGGCCAAGCCAGACUUCAGAGCUUCAUUGAUGACUGCUUCAACGUCUGAUUUCCACCAUUCACCUACACAGAAGAACAAAACUCAAAAGUUUCAGCCGAUUAGUCAGGUCUUUCCCGGCAUUUUUCACCCCGGAAAAGAGUCGGUACCUAAGACAAGAACGACUUCCUUGUGGGGUUUAGGGAAUGGGUAGGGGACACCGAGCUUGGGCAAGAUGACAAUGGCGCCGUGCACAGUUGCUCUGAGCCAGAGGAUGUGGGCGUGCCACCAAAGAGUUCCUCGUUGGCCUGUGACCGUAAAAUUAUACACAUAGCUUUGCCCUGGUUGGAUUGGACACUGUGUGAUAUACGCAGGCCCAUCUGCCCAACCGGUUCUCAGUUGCCUGAUCCCAUGCCUGCCUCAUCAAGUAAUUAAUUAAUUAGUUAAUUAAUUAAUCUGGUUUAUUUAAUUAAUUUUUAUAAUUAGUGAAGUACCAGUGAAUGCUUAGAUUGUAUUUAACAUGGUUGACUACUUUGACCAGAACAGUGUCGUCCUCUCUGGCAAUCAGAGUUGGACCAGGGAACUGGCCAUUGACAGUGACGAUUGGCUUCGUCGAACAGAGUCUCGUUGUCUUCUUCAUUACCACCUGCAUGCAUAAAUAUUAUAUGUAUAUACACACAGACACACACAUAUAUAUAUAUGUAAUUAUGUAUGUAUUUGUAUGAUGAAGGAAUCGAAAUUAAGCUUACAUUGAA